AACAAGGCGUACCUGCGGACCUGCGGAGGGAUCAUUACCGAGUUUUAGGGUCUGCGUUGUCCGAGUCAUCGGCGCGCGCCCGAAUCUCCCAACCCUUUGUUUAAUUGACCUACGUUGCUUCGGCGGACCGUGUCCUCCCUUCUCAUGAAAGGAGGGCCGCCGGAUGACCCCUUUUACCGGGGGACGUCUGGAGAGCCUUGUCCGCCGAUGGCCAACCACAAAAUCAAAACUCUUGUACCU
rnacentral:misc_RNA from 1 species